rnacentral:rRNA from 1 species
CCUACGGGUGGCAGCAGUGAGGAAUAUUGGUCAAUGGGCGAGAGCCUGAACCAGCCAAGUCGCGUGAAGGAUGACGGCCCUACGGGUUGUAAACUUCUUUUGUCCGGGAGCAAUUGAGUCCACGUGUGGUCUUAGCGAGAGUACCUGAAGAAAAGGCAUGGGCUAACUCCGUGCCAGCAGCCGCGGUAAUACGGAGGAUGCGAGCGUUAUCCGAAUUUAUUGGGUUUAAGGGGUGCGUAGGCGGAAUAUCAGGUCGGCGGGAAAAAUUCGGGGCUAAACCCCGCCGUGCCGUUGAAACUGAUGUUCUUGAGUGGGCGAGAAGUAUGCGGAAUGCGUGGUGUAGCGGUGAAAUGCAUAGAUAUCACGCAGAACUCCGAUUGCGAAGGCAGCAUACCGUCGCCCAACUGACGCUGAAGCACGAAAGCGCGGGUAUCGAACAGGAUUAGAUACCCGUGUAGUC